rnacentral:lncRNA from 1 species
UACGCUCCCUAUGCUAAUCAGGCUCUGCUCUUCAAUCUCUGUAGUUGCCCAUUCCCCAAACUUCCAUUGACAGGCUAUUUCUAAAACUGCUAAUUGAGACAAACAAAAUACACAGGGUAGGUGUAUCUAAUGUAAUACAAACCAAGCAGUCAGCAAAUUAGCACUGCUUAGCGAGACCCCUGACUCAGAUAAUCAGAGAGGUGUGGGGCCUGUAAGAACUCCUCUUUUCACAACCAGAUGUGAUGCCAGUGGGGACGGCCGUGGCUGUAAUUCAGGAUUAGAAAGCAGGAUGCACCUGUGGUUAUUGGCUGACCAGCAACUCAUGGAGACCUCCUGGUUGCUAUGGCCAAACGCUCCCCCUUCUUUAUGUAUCAAUAAAUGAACAUCUAUACCAAUACAAAGCAACAAAUGAAAAUCCAUACCAAUACAAAGUAUUUUUGGGAAUUUGGGCGUCGUUCAUUCCAAACUUCUUCCUGCUGGAAGGGGACGCUGUCAUGGCGAUCAUGAAAAUCACAGAAACAUAGCUAAGUCCUUGUUUUCGUUUAACAAGUUUCUUAAGAGUUGAGGUACACAUUUUCCAGGACCUUGCCUCCUUACCACCUGUUUCAAGAGUUGAGGUACCCAUUUUCCAGUACCUUGUUUCUUUACCAACUCUCUUAGGAGUUGAGGUACCCAUUAUCCAGUACCUUGCCUAUUUACCAACUCUCUUAGGAGCGGAGGUACCCAUUUUCCAGUACCUUGCCUCUUUACCAACUCUCUUAGGAGUUGAGGUACCCAUUUUCCAGUACCUUGUUUCUUACCAACUCUCUUAGGAGUUGAGGUACCCACUUUCCAGUACCUUGCCACUUUACCAACUCUCUUAGUAGUUGAGGUACUCACUUUCCAGUAUCUUG